rnacentral:rRNA from 1 species
GUGGGGAAUAUUGGACAAUGGGCGAAAGCCUGAUCCAGCCAUGCCGCGUGUGUGAAGAAGGUCUUCGGAUUGUAAAGCACUUUAAGUUGGGAGGAAGGGCAGUAAGUUAAUACCUUGCUGUUUUGACGUUACCGACAGAAUAAGCACCGGCUAACUUCGUGCCAGCAGCCGCGGUAAUACGAAGGGUGCAAGCGUUAAUCGGAAUUACUGGGCGUAAAGCGCGCGUAGGUGGUUUUGUAAGUUGGAGGUGAAAUCCCUGGGCUCAACCUGGGAACUGCCUCCAAAACUGCAUGACUAGAGUACGGUAGAGGGUAGUGGAAUUUCCUGUGUAGCGGUGAAAUGCGUAGAUAUAGGAAGGAACACCAGUGGCGAAGGCGACUACCUGGACUGAUACUGACACUGAGGUGCGAAAGCGUGGGGAGCAAACAGGAUUAGAAACCCUGGUAGUCC